CAGCAGCCACGGUAAUACGUAGGGCGCAAGCGUUAUCCGGAAUUAUUGGGCGUAAAGAGCUCGUAGGCGGUUUGUCACGUCUGCCGUGAAAGUCCGGGGCUCAACCCCGGAUCUGCGGUGGGUACGGGCAGACUAGAGUGAUGUAGGGGAGACUGGAAUUCCUGGUGUAGCGGUGAAAUGCGCAGAUAUCAGGAGGAACACCGAUGGCGAAGGCAGGUCUCUGGGCAUUAACUGACGCUGAGGAGCGAAAGCAUGGGGAGCGAACAGGAUUAGAUACCCGCGUAGUCCCUGUCUCUUAUAC
rnacentral:rRNA from 1 species